CCUACGGGAGGCAGCAGUGGGGAAUAUUGCACAAUGGGGGAAACCCUGAUGCAGCGACGCCGCGUGAGUGAAGAAGUAUUUCGGUAUGUAAAGCUCUGUCAGCAGGGAAGAAAAUGACGGUACCUGACCAAGAAGCCCCGGCUAACUACGUGCCAGCAGCCGCGGUAAUACGUAGGGGGCAAGCGUUAUCUGGAUUUACUGGGUGUAAAGGGAGCGUAGACGGCAGGGCAAGUCUGGAGUGAAAGGCGGGGGCUCAACCCCCGGACUGCACUGGAAACUGCUAGGUUGGAGUGCAGGAGAGGUAAGUGGAAUUCCUAGUGUAGCGGUGAAAUGCGUAGAUAUUAGGAGGAACACCAGUGGCGAAGGCGGCUUACUGGACUGUAACUGACGGUGAGGCGCGAAAGCGUGGGGAGCAAACAGGAUUAGAUACCCCGGUAGUC
rnacentral:rRNA from 1 species